rnacentral:rRNA from 1 species
GACGUACCACCCGAACGUUUAUUCGGAUUCACUGGGCUUACAGAGUCCGUAGGCGGUCAAGAAAGUUAGGCGUGAAAUCCCUCAGCUCAACUGAGGAAUAGCGCUUAAAAACUACUUGGCUAGAGAGAGUCAGAGGUGAGCGGAACUGAUGGUGGAGCGGUGAAAUGCGUAGAUAUCAGGAGGAACACCGGUGGUGUAGACGGCUCUCUGGACCGUAACUGACGCUGAGACACGAAAAGCGUGGGUAGCAAACAGG